rnacentral:rRNA from 1 species
UACAGAGGGGGCAAGCGUUGUUCGGAAUUACUGGGCGUAAAGGGCGCGUAGGCGGCCCGCUAAGUCGAACGUGAAAUCCCCGAGCUCAACUCGGGAACUGCGUCCGAUACUGGCGGGCUUGAAUCCGGGAGAGGGAUGCGGAAUUCCAGGUGUAGCGGUGAAAUGCGUAGAUAUCAGGAGGAACACCGAUGGCGAAGGCAGGUCUCUGGGCCAUUACUGACACUGAGAAGCGAAAGCAUGGGGAGCGAACAGG